rnacentral:rRNA from 1 species
CGCCUCUUGUACCUAUAUAAGAGGUCCAGCCUGCCCAGUGACUAAGUUCAACGGCCGCGGUAUCCUAACCGUGCGAAGGUAGCGUAAUCACUUGUUCUUUAAAUGAGGACUAGUAUGAAUGGCACCACGAGGGUUAUGCUGUCUCCUUUUUCUAAUCAAUGAAACUGAUCUCCCCGUGAAGAAGCGGGGAUGUAAUUAUAAGACGAGAAGACCCUAUGGAGCUUUAAACCAUGUAACACUGGCUUAAACAUUAAAAUAUUCCAGAAUGUUGAUAACUACUCUAGCCACUAUGAUUACUAGUUUUAGGUUGGGGUGACCACGGAGCAAAAAUUAACCUCCAUGUUGAACGGAGCUACUCCUGAACCAAAAGCCACGACUUUAAGCACUAAUAAAUUAACAUUAAUUGACCCAAUAUUUUUGAUCAACGAACCAAGUUACCCUAGGGAUAACAGCGCA